rnacentral:tRNA from 1 species
CGUUUCGUGGUGUAGUUGGUUAUAUGACGUCAGUCUAACACACUGAAGAACACCGGUUCGAACCCGGGCGAAGCCA